rnacentral:rRNA from 1 species
GAUGAACGCUGGCGGCGUGCCUAACACAUGCAAGUCGAACGAGGCAAAUAAGAUGAAGUUUUCGGAUGGAUUCUUAUUUACCGAGUGGCGGACGGGUGAGUAACGCGUGGGUAACCUGCCUCAUACAGGGGGAUAACGGUUAGAAAUGACUGCUAAUACCGCAUAAGCGCACAGUACCGCAUGGUACGGUGUGAAAAACUCCGGUGGUAUGAGAUGGACCCGCGUCUGAUUGGGUAGUUGGUGGGGUAACGGCCUACCAAGCCGACGAUCAGUAGCCGACCUGAGAGGGUGACCGGCCACAUUGGGACUGAGACACGGCCCAA